rnacentral:rRNA from 1 species
AUUGAACGCUGGCGGCAGGCCUAACACAUGCAAGUCGAGCGAGCGGCGGACGGGUGAGUAAUGUAUGGGGAUCUGCCCGGUAGAGGGGGAUAACUACUGGAAACGGUGGCUACUACCGCAUACUAACGGAUGAGACCAUAUGGGUUUUGCUAGGAGGUGGGGUAAAGGCUCACCUAGGCGACGAACUGUAGCUGGCGUGAGAGGAUGAUCAGCCACACUGGGACUGAGACACGGCCCAGACUCCUACGGGAGGCAGCAGUGGGGAAUAUUGCACAAUGGGCGAAAGCCUGAUGCAGCCAUGCCGCGUGUAUGAAGAAGGCCUUAGGGUUGUAAAGUACUUUCAGCGGGGAGGCGUUACCAGCAGAAGAAGCACCGGCUAACUCCGUGCCAGCAGCCGCGGUAAUAC